rfam:Sus scrofa chromosome 6.
UCUCUGGUGGUCUAGUGGUAAGGAUUUGGUGCUUUCACCGCUGCGGCCCGGGUUCAAACCCUGGUCUGGGAA